rnacentral:rRNA from 1 species
GCGAACGGACGAGAAGCUUGCUUCUCUGAUGUUAGCGGCGGACGGGUGAGUAACACGUGGAUAACCUACCUAUAAGACUGGGAUAACUUCGGGAAACCGGAGCUAAUACCGGAUAAUAUUUCGAACCGCAUGGUUCAAAAGUGAAAGACGGUCUUGCUGUCACUUAUAGAUGGAUCCGCGCUGCAUUAGCUAGUUGGUAAGGUAACAGCUUACCAAGGCAACGAUGCAUAGCCGACCUGAGAGGGUGAUCGGCCACACUGGAACUGAGACACGGUCCAGACUCCUACGGGAGGCAGCAGUAGGGAAUCUUCCGCAAUGGGCGAAAGCCUGACGGAGCAACGCCGCGUGAGUGAUGAAGGUCUUCGGAUCGUAAAACUCUGUUAUUAGGGAAGAACACAUGUGUAAGUAACUGUGCGCAUCUUGACGGUACCUAAUCAGAAAGCCACGGCUAACUACGUGCCAGCAGCCGCGGUAAUACGUAGGUGGCAAGCGUUAUCCGGAAUUAUUGGGCGUAAAGCGCGCGUAGGCGGUUUUUUAAGUCUGAUGUGAAAGCCCACGGCUCAACCGUGGAGGGUCAUUGGAAACUGGAAAACUUGAGUGCAGAAGAGGAAAGUGGAAUUCCAUGUGUAGCGGUGAAAUGCGCAGAGAUAUGGAGGAACACCAGUGGCGAAGGCGACUUUCUGGUCUGUAACUGACGCUGAUGUGCGAAAGCGUGGGGAUCAAACAGG